AACGAACGCUGGCGGCAUGCCUAACACAUGCAAGUCGAACGAGACCUUCGGGUCUAGUGGCGCACGGGUGCGUAACGCGUGGGAACCUGCCCUUAGGUUCGGAAUAACUCCCCGAAAGGGGUGCUAAUACCGGAUAAUGUCUUCGGACCAAAGAUUUAUCGCCUUUGGAUGGGCCCGCGUUGGAUUAGCUAGUUGGUAGGGUAAAAGCCUACCAAGGCGACGAUCCAUAGCUGGUCUGAGAGGAUGAUCAGCCACACUGGGACUGAGACACGGCCAAGACCCCUCCGGGAGGAGGAAGGGGGGAAUAUGGGACAAGGGGCGAAAGCCUGAUCCAGCAAUGCCGCGGGAGUGAUGAAGGCCGUAGGGUUGUAAAGCUCUUUUACCCGGGAUGAUAAUGACAGUACCGGGAGAAUAAGCUCCGGCUAACUCC
rnacentral:rRNA from 1 species